UUUCCUACGGGACGCAGCAGUGAGGAAUAUUGGUCAAUGGGCGCGAGCCUGAACCAGCCAAGUCGCGUGAGGGAAGACGGUCCUAUGGAUUGUAAACCUCUUUUGUCGGGGAGCAAAAGACGCCACGUGUGGCGUUCCGAGAGUACCCGAAGAAAAAGCAUCGGCUAACUCCGUGCCAGUAGCCGCGGUAAUACGGAGGAUGCGAGCGUUAUCCGGAUUUAUUGGGGUUAAAGGGUGCGCAGACGGAAGAUCAAGCCAGCGGUAAAAUUGAGAGGCUC
rnacentral:rRNA from 1 species